CGGAAAAUACAAGCCCGACCUCGGGUGUCACGAAGUCAAGAGCAAUACUACAAUAGUUCCAAAACAAGACAAGACUAAAAUAGUCUGGAAAUAGCAACAAUAUACUAAUAGAAAGAUAGAAAAGGAGAAAAACGGAAUUGUGAUCGCCACGUAGCUACCUCGCUAUCUCUGUAAAGUCUACGACUGGAAUAGUCAACAGUCGCUACCGCGUCCUGAGAUACUUGGAUCUGCACACAAGGUGCAGGGAAUAACUUGAUUACACCACAUCAGUAAGUAACAAGUCCAAACUAUGGACUGACAGGUAGUGACGAAACAAAACCUCAACAGGUAAUACAAUUAAACUAUACAGUAAAGUAGGCAUGCUUGCAAUUCAAGUAUUCAACUCAACAGUAAAUAAAUACAAUUUGAACAGUGUGGAGUAUAAAGCUCAGCAAAACUCUAUGUACCAAUGCAUAGAAGGCAUGAAAAAUUUACCAUGUACCUCACUCUCAAGUCCUCAACCACUCGGUACUGUAUAUGGCCAUCCGGCUCAGGGAAGAUCUAUCCCGGAAUAUAUACAUACAUCAUUGACCGUAGUCAUCCAGUACCGAGGAAGGCCAUUCCAGCCCUAUGUAGAAGAUCCAUCUCUAGGUAUAAAUACUUUGGACAAGAUGUCGCGCCCCCUUUUUCUCGCGAAAUCAGGUUUAUGACAUUUGGUAUGGGACAACUCGUUCCUUUCAGGAAUUGGGUUUUGCAUUUUCUUGAAGAGUCGCCACUUAAUGAUUUAAGGUGCAUUAGGACACCAAUGGGGUUCAAUUCUAAGUCAUUUGAAUAACCAGAGAUAGGGUAAGGGCUUGAAGUUAUCCCAAGGGGAAGGUGUUAGGCACCCCUCAAGAUCCACUAGUGUGGUUCCCAACUAGACAGUUAUUGUGAAUUUAGCAAAUAUACAAGUACGGGCUCAAAUAUUAGGGGAUUUAAACACAUAAAAAAGAAAGAACAAUUAAAAAGAAGAGUUAAAAAAAAGAGUUUGCAAAUAAAAAGAAAGGGGAUCCUAGGUUUAUAUUUAAUAUGGAUCACGUCAAUGCAAUACCCAGUAAUCACUCCUUAAAAGAGGGGUUACAUGUUGUAUUAGCGCACCAAUCAUCAUAUCCAUAUCUACCCUUCCCACCCUGUUAAGGUAUUAAAGCGCGGAUUGGUAUCGAUUACUAUUGCAUGCUAUUACCCUUCCCAUUCCUAUCAGUCUCGGAGGCACUUAGGACUACUAGUCCUAAAGGGUGGGAUAUUAGGCUGAUUGGUUUCAAAGGAUAAAAAUCUAAGGUGACAUACAAAAAACACAUAUUGCAUGUUGGGGAAGCAUAUAAACAGAUAAAGGCUCAAAUAUACCUCCUUGAACAAAACCACAUAACUAGCAUGACUUGCACAUACUUUUUAGGUCUGAUUAAAAUACUAAAGAUGAGGGGAGUUUGAUUAUUGAAGCAGAUUUGUUUAUUACAUAACUCAGAUAAGAAGUCCGAAUCAGGCCUGCCUGCUGGUUGUAACAAUUAACAAAGGCGGAUUCAAUUUUACAGUCAUUACUCUAAGGCUUACCUAAGUAUUUAGACAGGGUCCUAUAGGCAAGAUAUCUACUUAAUUCAGAAGGUAGUGAAACAGUGAUAACUCAAAGCGAAUUGUUUGAAAUCCUAUAGGCAUGCUUGCUAAACCUCGUUAAAAUAAGGGAAUCAGAUUAUUAAAAAAGAUUCAGAAUGGAUGAAUUUUAAAUUAGACUAGUUUCAGUUUAUGCAGAUGACAAUAUCCACUAUCGCUGAUUUUACUCCUAUGAACAUGGUAUCUAGGAUUACUGAUUUUAGACCCUUGUAGACAUAAUUGCUGAUUUUAAACCUUUGCGUACAUAGUAUCUGAAUAAUGUCAAACCCCUAUAGGCAUAAUAUCUAGUAGACAAUAGAAACAGGCGGGUUUUCACUUGGGAAUUCCUAUAAGCAUGAUUUCUAUCCAUUAUGCUGAUUUUAACAGGCGACUGGGUUAUAGCCAAUUGGGUCCUAAAAAUAUAUGAUAUCUAAACGGUGACAAACAUGUAGAAUUUUAGAUAAUUCCUAUAGGAAAGUUAUCUUUAUGUGAAGUUGAACAAGUAGGUCCUAUAGACAUGGUUUCUAAAUGUGAUGAAUAUGCAGAAUUAAAAGCAGUCCUAUAGGCAUAUUUUCUACCCUUGAGCAUGCAUAAUUAUCCAAUCCUUUUCACUAGCCAGCCCCAAAUGUUCAUUAUAAAUUAUUACAAACCAGGAAUACUGAAUCACAUCGGAAAAAUACAAAGAAAAGUUACAACCAAAGGAAGCCUGAUUCUUGACUUCCUCUCUGAGUUAUGGAGUAAACCACCUCAAAAUGUCAUUGAUCCAAAGCCUUUCUCAGACUUGAGUGUGUCAUAGCUCCCUAAGGACCUCAAUAGGACCCCGGACAGUGCUCACACCCAAGUUACAUAACCAGAAUGAAGAUGAGUGCAAUGUGGAAAUGCCAACCCUCAUGUGUCCAAGUUCAGAGGGAGCUCAUGGGUCCCAAGGCCAGGCUCACAUGAGGGGGGGGGGGGGGGCAAAACUUAAGUCUAAGAAGAAAAUGAAAGUGCAUAAACAGAGAUCUAAGAGCUGAGGGAAUAAAGGAGAGGGAAAGGGUGAUGGGAGAUAACCAUUAACAUUUCAGGGAGUCAAUAACUUCACACAAAGGGGGCGGGGGAUUGGGAAUCCAUUGCAAGGAGCUUAUACACUUAGGCAUGGGUUAACUUUGGGCAUGUACAACAAUAGAAAGUGCUGACAUGCCUGUAAAUCAACCAGAACACACAACAUAUAAGAGAAACAUGGAGGUUAUGAUCCUAAAAGGAUCAAGUUUGGGUCAUGCACAACAAUUUCCAAUGUUGUUAUGCCCCAAACCAACCACAAGUAUUAAAUACAUUGGGGUAGGGAUUUAAAAUUCAUAGGUCAUGAUACAUUGAUUUAGAACAGGAGAAAGGAAAUUACAGCAUGCUAAACAAUGGUACUGGGCUAAAUACAAACAGUAGGCAAACAAGAAUGCAAGAAACAGUAAAUAAGCAUAUUGUUGUUGGUGCAGAAAACUUAAUUAGAACAUACCAGUAAGAAAUGCAAAUGCAGAAAAUAAGCAAGUUUCCCCACAGCCUAGCCUUGGCUUUCAGCCGGCUAGGUAAGGCAGCAAUAUAGUAGUUACAGAGAAAAGAGAGAUUUGGUGGAGUGUGUGUUUGAACUCAAGUGUUUAUGCCUUGUGUUCGUGUUUUUGAAAGAAAAGAAAUACAUGGUAUUUAUAGCUUUUUGAAAACGAGUAAGAGAGGGUAAUAAGCUACAAACAUGGAAACAAUCAUGAUUCAGAAUCAAUUNNNNNNNNNNNNNNNNNNNNNNNNNCUGACAGUUGCCAUAAAAGAAGUAGUAAAACAUUAAGUAGGCCAUCGAGUCUAGGUACAGAGAUACACUAAUUUUGGAAAGAAUUUAGCAAGGCAAAACAGGAAAAGAAAAUCAAUUAACCCUAACAGGUGAGUGAAAUCAGAAUUUCACAAAGGAAAAAUUCGAAAUCAUUCACAAGUUGAAGGUCAAACAAAGAAGGAAACUUAGCAUAUAAAUAAGGUGCAUAAACACUAUACAUGCGAGGCCAAGCCUGUUGGCAGAAGGAAAUAGCAUACAAUAGUAGCACAAAAUUCAGUGGAUAGCAACAUUCGAAACAAGAUAGCCCAGUAGGUCCAGUAGUGAAGAAAACAUAGAAUAUCAAAGCAUGUGAAGAUCUCACAAUAGCAGGUGAAGAAAACCCCUCUUGAAAAUUAGGGUUUCGAGCAUAAUCGAUUUUCAGAGAUGAUAGAAAACCAGAGUCAGAAGAAUCACAUAGAGAAAUAAGAGAUUUUGAGAUAAAGAACUUCAAAAUCGAGUUAUGCACUUAAACGAACAGCCUCAAACCCAAAACCAUAGGAUUUUCAACAAUAGACGAGUUUUUAAAAGAGGAUAAACAAACAAAUUGGACAGAAACUCAGGCAAACAAACAUUCGUGUAAUAAACAGUCAUAAGAAAUUAGGGCUUUUAACAUGCAAACUCAAGUAGAAGAAAGAUAUAAGGAAACACAACAGAACAUAUCAAAAAUCAGAGAAAAGUUUUGAAAUAAACUAACAAGAACCCUAAUCGAAAAAGACAAGGGGUUUUGAAGCCAGAGUCUUAAAAGAAACUUAGAGAAAAAAGCUUAGCAGUUCAGAGCAAACAUAGAUCUGAAACAGAUCUAAAAGAAAUCGAAAGAACCUUAGAUGUUAGGGUUUUAGAAGAACCCCAAGUGAUGAGAAAGGCUUUGAAAACCAUCGAUCUAAGCAGGAGAGUUAAGAGUUUGACUCGAAUAGCCAUGGCUGACCGGAGAACAAUCAUGAACUAAAAUCGAACAGGGUCUGGACCAAGCUCUUUCAAGAUCUAGCCUUGAGACCAUAAGAAUCGAAUACGUAGAAGCCAUGGGGGGUUGAUACAGGUCUCCGAUGACCUUGGAAGCCAUAAAUUUGGGAGGUAUUAGGGUUGGGUUAGGUGGUGGCGGCUAGGGUUCAUGAGGGAUUACAGAGAGAGUUGAGAGGGAAAGGGAUUCAAGGGCGGCAUUUGGUGUGAAAUGAGGUGGGGUAAGGGGUCGUU
rnacentral:lncRNA from 1 species